GCAGAGUUUGUACAAAGAACAAAGUGGGUGAAUGAUCCCAUUUUCUGGGCGCUCACUUAAUACGUUCUCCACCAGAUACAUGGAUGCCGCCCGAGCCUGGGCGCUAAACUUUAGAUCAACUCUAGGUGUUUCACAAGAAAUACCGGCAACGUUUGAGUUUAAAAGUGAUAAAGAGGACUCAAGUAGGCGAUUUUCUUAGGUAAGAAAAAUGAGGGAGGAAAGGUAUCAGAUUACGGAAGUGCCGAGUCUGCAGAGCAAACUAUUCAUUAAAACGAGAUAAAUAAUUCACUAAGUUUCCACCAGCCGAUAGCUUGCAAAAUGUCCCUUUCCCACUCCUGGGCAGACUCUGUUGUAAAUAAAAAUGCCAUUUCCACGGGUCCCCAGUGUUGUACCUGCGGACACAGCUUUAGAAAAAGCAGACAAGAUCUUACUAAAGCGCGCCUCCCUCUGACGCACAAACUUCACACAGCAGCUGUCCGCUUUUUAAAAAAAAGGGAAAAAAACGUCUGCGACCUCUCUUGCGUUUAAAGUCUAUAAUUUUGUAUUUGAAAAAGUAAAGCUGUAGCGUGGGGAUCACUUUAAACAUGACAAAAAAAACAGUGGAAACUGAAAAGUUAAUGCAAUUUGAAAUUCGAGCAUGAUUUAAUGUAUUUUGCGAGCGUUUGCCUGCCAGGAUUCUAUCUGAAGGUUUAACAGCAAACUGGUCACGCACUUUUCCCAUUAUCGAAGUGUUGAUGUCGGAUAAUGGCACUGUACAAACUAGUAACCAGGCUCACACUCAAGUGAAUUAAGCGAGACACGACAAGAAAAUUCGUGCGAAAAGAUCUUCAAGAGGGAUAAAAAAAAAUACUGCCUUACCAGACAUUCUAGGAUUUAUAAUUGUCAGCUUGCUUCAGGAGAGAUGCUUUGAAUGGCCCCAGCAAUGAAUCUUUCUCUUCAGAUUUGUUGAUAAGAGUGCAAUUUUCUUAAAAUUAAGGCAAUGUGCUAGGUUCAGCACUGAAAUUUGAACAAUACACAAUCACAAUUAUUGCACUAUACCUUGGGACAUAACUUAGAGUUUUGCAGCACUCAUGCCGACCUUUUUAAAACCUCUACAAUCCAAUGAUUUGACAAUGAAUGAUUGCGCGAUACUUUCAAUUUGAAUAUUCAAAGCCCAGACAAAAAGAGUGCUCUCUUUUUCAAACACUGUGCUUUUCCAUCUAUUAAAGACUCCAAUGGAAUGAAAUACAAUGUAAAGUAUGGAACUUUAUGCAUGAUUGUCCACAUUUUUGUGAUUUUAAGAAUCUUUGGCUAGUGGGGCCAGAGAGACUCAAACAUGUCCAUAAUUUUUGCCCUGCCAUCUCAUUUUUACCCCAGAGCCCUCCCAACUCCACAUUCACAUUUGCCAGCGAUGCACUACAGCCCUGGGUACACUUUAUAUCGACGUUUUAUCCUGAUAAGUGGUAUUUAUCCACGAUUUGGUACCAAACAUGGCAGAUUGUGGGCGUGGCAUAGAGUAGUCCUUUAAUCGAGCAUGGAGUGAGAAUAAAAACAGCAAACGGUUGAUCUCCAGCUACAUUCUACAUCUAUAGCAGUCUUACAGAGCUCUGGGAAAUAAGAAUUGUUUGUAACGAAAUUCUUCAAUUAGAGGAAGCGAAGAUUUCCUUACAGUAAUGACCCUGUGAUAUUUGAAUAUCGCCUGCCCGUUUGAGGACAGCUUUUGGGAUUUUAUUUCAUUCUGAUUUUCUGGCGGUUUAACGGCAUCGCAAGCAACUAAGGCCUUUCGAGCGGAUCCCAAUGCAUCGGACCUUCGUCGUUCAGACACGGGGAGCGGGAUUCUCCUGUCCUAAUGUCUGUGUUCAUUGUUUUUCAUUUUGUUAUGGUGCAUCAUUAAUAAAACAAUCCUGUUUGUUAAA